UGGGGAAUUUUGCACAAUGGGGGCAACCCUGAUGCAGCGACGCCGCGUGAUUUAGAAGGCCUUCGGGUUGUAAAAAUCUUUUGUAUGGGAAGAAAAUGACAGUACCAUACGAAUAAGGACCGGCUAAUUACGUGCCAGCAGCCGCGGUAAUACGUAAGGUCCGAGCGUUGUCCGGAAUCAUUGGGGGUAAAGGGUACGGAGGCGGAUAAGCAAGUUAGAAGUGAAAUCCUAUAGCUCAACUAUAGUAAGCUUUUAAAACUGCUCAUCUUGAGGUAUGGAAGGGAAAGUGGAAUUCCUAGUGUAGCAGUGAAAUGCGCAGAUAUUAGGAGGAAUACCGGUGGCGAAGGCGACUUUCUGGCCAUAAACUGACGCUGAGGUACGAAAGCGUGGGUAGCAAACAGG
rnacentral:rRNA from 1 species